CUGGAGAGUUUGAUCCUGGCUCAGAAUGAACGCUGGCGGCGUGCCUAACACAUGCAAGUCGCACGAGAAAGUCUGCCUUCGGGCGGGCGAGUAAAGUGGCGCACGGGUGAGUAACGCGUAGGUAAUCUACCCCCGGAACCGGGAUAACAGUGCGAAAGUGCUGCUAAUACCGGAUACGAUCUUUCGGCGGGAGCUGGAAGGUGAAAGUCGGCCUCUCGAAGAAGCCGGUGCUCGGGGAUGAGCCUGCGUCCUAUCAGCUAGUUGGCAGGGUAAUGGCCUACCAAGGCGACGACGGGUAGCUGGUCUGAGAGGAUGAUCAGCCACACUGGCACUGAAACACGGGCCAGACUCCUACGGGAGGCAGCAGUGAGGAAUUUUGCGCAAUGGGAGCAAUCCUGACGCAGCAACGCCGCGUGGGUGAUGAAGGCCUUCGGGUCGUAAAGCCCUGUCAGGUGGGAAGAAUGUCCCGGGACUGAACA
rnacentral:rRNA from 1 species